CGGCGGAUGAAUGCGAAAAAAAGGGGGAGGGUCUGAAUGGAACAAGCGUAUUGAGACCCUGCACCACGCUAAAUCGCCGUUUCCAGGCGCUUGGCGACUUAAAGGGCUAUGACCACACGCUAAGGUCGGUCGUAUGCACUCUCAGUUCUAGGAUAAGUACGUCUACAGCAUCGUCGGCGCUGGCAGCCUUGUCUUUAGGGACCUAGUCGAUGCAAUCAUGAAUGGGCGGAAGGCGUACUUGCCCGAGUGCAUCCGCGCCGUCUAUCUAUGCGGUAUGAGCUUCCGCGGGGGUGCUGGCAAAAGACUCUGCACCGUGCUCGGCGCGUGACAUUUGCGGAGCUUUCAAGGGCUGUGCCGAGAUGCUGGCGGCCAACGCUGCCGGGGUUGCGGUGGGCAGCAGAAACGACGUGGGAGUGCCUACGUUAACGACUCCGUCGAGGUCGCCCUUGCUUUGACCGGGCGAUUUCAGUCUACUAUUUUUUUUUUUGCUGUUGUUUGGCCUGCACAACACAUCCUUCUGAUGCACGCCACGCGCCCCGCGACGACGUCGUUUACUGCGCCUUCUCCAAAACUAACCAUCUCCCAUGCUUGGUCACGUGCUGUGGGUUGCCCCCACGCUCUUCUGCCACG
rnacentral:misc_RNA from 1 species